rnacentral:rRNA from 1 species
GACGAACGCUGGCGGCGUGCUUAACACAUGCAAGUGGAGCGACGAACCAGGGCUUGCCCUGGGGCAAAGCCGCGAACGGGUGAGUAACACGUGGGUAACCUGCCCCGAAGACCGGGACAACCCGAGGAAACUCGGGCUAAUACCGGAUGUGUCUCCCGGGCACAAGCCCGGUGGGCAAAGGAAGCUUCGGCCUCCGCUUCGGGCGGGGCCCGGGGCCCAUUAGCCAGUCGGUGAGGUAACGGCUCACCGAGGCAACGAUGGGUAGCUGGUCUGAGAGGACGAUCAGCCACACUGGGACUGAGACACGGCCCAGACUCCUACGGGAGGCAGCAGUGGGGAAUCUUGCGCAAUGCGCGAAAGCGUGACGCAGCAACGCCGCGUGGGGGAAGAAGGCCCUCGGGUUGUAAACCCCUUUCAGGGGGGACGAAGGCACGAUCGGUGAAUAGCCGGUCGUGCUGACGGUACCCCCAGAAGAAGCUCCGGCUAACUACGUGCCAGCAGCCGCCGUAA